rnacentral:lncRNA from 1 species
UUGGGGAUGAACAAGACACUUUGGAUAAAUUCAAGAACAAAAAAAUUUCUGCUCUAUUUGCUGAGAGCCCAUACGAGAAGGUUUUCUUGAAUAAAUACUGCAAAGAAUACACUUCAACUACAGCAGCCUAUAAAUUUGGAGGAUUGGGAUUUGUCAGUGCCUAAAACUUCUUAUUUUGGACAAUUUACUUUUACAAAAAGUUAAUAGUUGUCUUUUCAAAGUACAUUAGUAUCUAUUUUAGUUUUGCAUACUCAUGUUUGGUUUCAUGCUCUAUGAUUUUGCAGGUUUUUCAAAAAGACGAUCCAAUGGCAAAAGACUUUUCUGAAGCAAUUUUAACACUGGCAGAAAAUGGAAAAUUAAAAGAUUUGGAAAAUAUAUGGUUAACACCUUCCAAUAAAUGCUCAAACAACUCACCAUCUCCAGAAGAAACUGAGAGUCUGACUCUUGACAAAUUUUGGGGACUCUAUGUCAUAUGUGCUGCCACAUCCACCAUCUGCUUACUACUAGCUUUGUUGAAGAAGCGUUUACGUAACCAUAACCACUAUGAAGAAGCUGAUCAACUUCCUCAAGGAAGUGUAAUCUCCGAAUCUGAUGAUGAUAAUAAUAAUAAUUCUCAGAGAGCAAUUAGAGUUGGUACAGGUUUAAACAUUGAGAAUCUCAUUAAAUUAAAUAAAUCUGCAACUUUUGGUGGACGUGUAAAAGAAGGUGUACGUCGUAGAAAUUCACCAAAAUUGGAGAGUAUAAGCAUUUCUGAUGAACAGGGCGAUCUUCCUCACUCCCAAUCAGCUGCCAUGCCAUAGAAAUGAUAUAAUUCAUAUUAUGUAAUAGCUAACCAUAUACAUUCCAACUUUUAUGUGUUUAAUUUUAACAAUUGUAGUAGUAGCAAUUAUGAAAACCCUAUAGUAAUUUUAACACAAAUAUAUGUAUUUUAAAGUUAGUAUCUAAUGUGAUUCGUUUCAUCAGUCUCCUCCUGAAAAACAUGCAAUAUCAUCAGUUCUUCACCUCACUAUAUAUGAUUCAGUAUGGGAAAAAAGUUCUUCCUACAAUAAGCGCAAUGCUGCACUUGCAAAAUUCAACUAUUACAAUGUAUGGUCAAGAGACAUUUUAAAUUUCUUGCACAAGGGAUUAUAUAUCACUCUACAUUUGUCUUCAUUCUCAGCCAUCUAUUUUGAGGUAUACAUCUUUAUUUUUAUGUAAUUAAAGUAUGACAUUUCACAAAGGUACUAAAAAAUGAUAAAUAUAAGGCUGAUAAUUGCAGGACAAUCAUUUUCACAUAUUUUAACAUUGAGUAUGCAUGUUGAAUUAUAUGACCAGUUCCUCCGGGGGAAUGUAUAUACUUACAAAUUUUCAGACUCAAAUUUCCUAUUCAGAUUCUAAAGUCAUUUAUUAUGAUCUAUUGUCCUAAAUUUUGUGGCCACAUAUCAAAGCCUAAAUGUCAUUAGUUUGAGGUCCACUUCUCAUAGCUGGCCAAUCCAACAAGAAUCUGUGUUUCCAAGAAGCAUCCAUUUUUGAUGAUCUUUCAACUUAUCUCUAGAAAUGACAUAAAAUUAACACUAAAUGAAAUUAAGAUUACCAUUUUGACUGGAUCAACUUAUCUCUAGUUGAUUUAAAGACGUUAUUUUCUGAUUUUUUAUUUUAUAAUUCAAUAAAUUAAACUUGAAUCUAGACCAUCUGAUUUUGAACAGACUACCAUCAUUUUGAAUGUGUGGAUGCAGGAAAUCCCGACAGCAAGGAAUCCUAAAUUUCAAAUCUUUUAGAAGACUUACAUCCUAAAUUUAGAAAAUAUAAUCUUUUGUCCUAUCAUACACUUGUGUGUCGGUAUGAGACAAUAAGCACGCGUUCUUACAUGUGGCACGAGAGUGUUUGUCAUUUUUGAAGUAUGAAUUCAUAUUUCUAUCAACUACUUAGUAUUCUUAAUUUUAUUUUGAAUGCGGAUCAAACUCUCCACCUCUCUAUCGCUCCACUUUUUGUCUCCUAAAUUCCAACUAUCAAACCACCCUUACUCUUACUUGGAUUUAACAUUAGUUUUUCCCUAAUAGGUUUUCCAAUAAGCAGAUAAAACUUAGGUGUAAUGCUGCACAUAUUUUGGUCUUAUUGUUCCUCAUACAAAAGUACAGCUUUUAUUUAAUUAAGGAGACUUUUAGAACAAUAAUCCGGCUUAACAGAGUAAAGAAACAAUAGACGCAAACAAUGAGCACGCUGUAUGCUAACAAAGUUUGGCUAAUAUUAAUUACACCCUGAACUACAUUUUCUUUUUAUUACCUCUAAACUGUACCGCAGAUGACUUCCAACCCCACAAAAAAUGAUUGGACCAAGCCUAAGGACAUGUUUCUCUUGCUUUCCUCAAUAGACCCUUUCCGCUUAUCAACAACUAUGAAUCAUAUUCAACAUUGACAAUUUCUAUCGCAUCUAACAUAAUUUGUGACAGUUCUACUCUAUUUUUAGUGAAUAAUAUUAAGAGCAGUGUCUAAACUCUAGAGCACUGUUUCUAAGUUUUCACCAUCUCUAAAUCCAAGAUUUAUCCCAUCUAACAAAUCGUUGAUCCUUACAAUUACUUUUCCCUCCCUUAUGAGGUGUUAUGACUAGCCUUCCUUCUAAUAACUCAGCAACUUGCAAGCCUUGCUUAUUCUCUUCUUAUACCCAACUUUGUCUCCAAGUAUGGAGUCAACAUCAUAAUUGACAAAGUCAAACAUUAAAUUUCCAUGAAACAACCAAAGUAACUCCAAAAAUCCUCGGCAUUGAGUAAUAUUAAUUCCUCUAGGUAAUCAUGUAAUAUAUAGGCAGCUAGUCCCUGCACAGUUUCCAACAAAGGCUAGUAGAUUAUGUGAGCAAAAGAUAUUGCAGCAAAAUGCAUUGCCUUUCAACUAUUCCUCAAGCACUAGCAAGAGUUUGGCUAUUCUUUUUCUUACUCACUCCUUCUGUUCUCAUUUUUGGUUUCCGAGAUGAGACAAACAAAGUUAUAUCCAUUGGGGUGACCAUUGAUGUUAAUUCUCGUAUUGGGAAAGAACAAGAAGUAGCCAUGGAAAUUGCAGCCCAGAAAUACAACAUCGCUUCAAAGGAAUACAACCUGGCUCUCUAUUUUCAGAACUCUGCCAAGGAUACCCUCAGGGCCAUCACACUUGGUUAGUACAUCUAGUAUUUUUUGAGAAAAAAAACAUUAAACUUUCUUACAUGUGUAUAAUGAAGCAUGUGAGAUCUUUAAUUGCAGCUGAAGAGAUGAUUAAGGUGCAAAAGGUGCAAGUGAUUAUAGGGAUGCACACAUGGCCAGAAGCAGGUAUAGUAGCUGAAAUAGGAAGCAAAGCUCAAGUUCCUAUCAUAUCCUUUGCAGCACCUACCAUAAUGCCACCAUUGAUGAAAACUCGAUGGCCUUUUCUGGUGGGACAAGCAAACAAAGGUACAUCAUAUAUAAAAUGCAUUGCAGACAUAGUGCAGGCAUAUAGCUGGAAAAGAGUAGUAGUAAUCUACGAAGAUGACGGGUACGGGGGAGAUUAUGGGAUGCUAGCUCUGCUAGCUGAGGCCCUUCAGGAUGUGGAUUCAAUGAUUGAACACCGCUUAGUCCUUCCCCCAAUCUCUUCUAUACAUGAUCCAGGAGAGUUAGUUAGUGAAGAGAUGAUUAAGUUAAAACAAGCACAAUCUCGGGUGUUCAUAGUGCUGCAAUCAUCGUUAGAAAUGACAAUCCAUUUGUUCAAAGAAGCUUCAAAAGUUGGACUGGUGGGUAAAGAAUCAGUUUGGAUAAUCCCAGAGAGCGUAACAAAUUUGAUGGACUCUGUCGAUAAAUCUGCUAUUUCCUAUAUGGAAGGAGCUUUAGGAAUUAAAGCCUACUACUCAGAGAGAAGCAAGGAUUAUCAAGACUUUGAGGCUCAGUUCAGGAGAACUUUUUGGUUAAAGAAUCCAGAGGAAGAUAACCGAUACCCAGGAUUUUAUGCUCUACAAGCAUAUGAUAGCAUUAAUAUUGUAACUCAAGCAAUCGACAGAAUGACCAGUAGAAACAAUAGCAGCCCAAAGAGUUUGCUAAGAGAAAUACAGUCUAGCAAUUUCGUUGGUUUGAGUGGCCAUAUUCAACUUGAAGAUGAACAACUCAUGCAGAAGAAUCUUGUAUUAAGAAUUGUAAAUGUGGCUGGGAAGAGUUACAAGGAAUUAUGCUUUUGGACUCAACAACAUGGCUUCACAACAGUCCUCCAUACCGGACAAGGUGGAAACAAGGUUGCUGGAAAUACAGAAUGUUUCAGGGGUGUACGCUGGCCUGGGAAUUUGGACCGCGAUCCAAAGGGGUGGAACAUGCCUACCAAACAAUAUCCAUUGAAAAUUGCAGUCAGAAGCAGAACCUCGUUUUACAAGUUUGUCAAGGUUGAGUAUGGCCAUAAUGGAAAGGAUGAUAAAUAUAGUGGAUUUUGCAUUGACAUUUUCGAGCAAGUACAGAAACUUCUGGGGUACGAUCUUCCAUAUAAAUAUCAUGCCAUCAAUGGAACCUAUAACGAUUUGGUUCAGCUUGUCUAUAACAAGGUAUUAAAUCUAUUUUUCUUUGAAAUCAAAUGUUUAAUUUUGGUUUCUAUGAUUAUCAUUGUCCUCCCUAUCAAAUAUGACAAAGAUACUUAUAGUUAGCGAUUAGGAAUAACUAAUAAUAUGUACUAAAUGCAACUUAAUUACUUUGAAAUUUGAGAAACAAUAUUUUUUUAUUUAUUGAUUACGAUUUUUUGUUUAUGUGUGGUUAAACAAUAAUGGAAGACUUUUGAUGCUGUUAUUGGAGACAUGACCAUAAUAGAGGAAAGAUUGAAGUAUGUGGAUUUUACAGUGCCAUAUGCAGAAUCAGGAUUGUCAAUGAUAGUUCCAAUGAAGUCUGGAGAAUCAGCAUGGAUGUUUAUGAAGCCAUUUACCUGGGAAUUGUGGCUGGUUACAGAUGCAAUCUUGAUUUACACAAUGUUAGUUGUUUGGUAUCUUGAGAGAGAACCCAACCCAGAGUUCCAUGGAAACUGGAAGCUCCAGCUCAGCACAGCCUUUUGGUUUACUUUUUCCUCUCUGUUCUUUGCUCAUAGUGAGUAUCAAUCUCAAACUUCCUUGUCAUUUUGAUGCAAAAUAACAAUAUGAAAAAACAUAUAAUC